UCGGGGGUACACGAGUGGCGAACGGGUGACUAACACGUGGGUAAUCUGCCCUGCACUUCGGGAUAAGCCUGGGAAACCGGGUCUAAUACCGGAUAUGAGCUCCUGCCGCAUGGUGGGGGUUGGAAAGUUUUUCGGUGCAGGAUGAGUCCGCGGCCUAUCAGCUUGUUGGUGGGGUAAUGGCCUACCAAGGCGACGACGGGUAGCCGGCCUGAGAGGGUGAUCGGCCACACUGGGACUGAGACACGGCCCAGACUCCUACGGGAGGCAGCAGUGGGGAAUAUUGCACAAUGGGCGAAAGCCUGAUGCACCGACGCCGCGUGGGGGAUGACGGUCUUCGGAUUGUAAACUCCUUUCAGUAGGGACGAAGCGAAAGUGACGGUACCUGCAGAAGAAGCACCGGCCAACUACGUGCCAGCAGCCGCGGUAAUACGUAGGGUGCAAGCGUUGUCCGGAAUUACUGGGCGUAAAGAGCUCGUAGGCGGUUUGUCACGUCGUCUGUGAAAUCCUCCAGCUCAACUGGGGGCGUGCAGGCGAUACGGGCAGACUUGAGUACUACAGGGGAGACUGGAAUUCCUGGUGUAGCGGUGAAAUGCGCAGAUA
rnacentral:rRNA from 1 species